GCCAGUGUGGUGUAGUGGUUUGUGCAUUAAACUGAAACUCUAGAGACCAGGGUUCAAAUCCCCACUUGGCCA